UGCAGACUAAUCUAUAUGACAGAUCUGUAAGGAUCUCCUGGAAAGCCAUGUGAAGAUGCCUGCUUCAGUUUUGCCUUCUAACAUGAGUAAAAUCUCCCUGAGGCCUCCUGAGAAGCAGAUGCUGCCAUGCUUCCUGUACAGCCUGGGAAACUGACUUACAGAAAAGUUGGGAAUGUGAGCUACUGCUUCUGUGCUCCCUCCUGUGUCCCCG
rnacentral:lncRNA from 1 species